rnacentral:sRNA from 2 species
CCGGCAUUGCUUACUUUACCACAGCGAUCGAGGUAGCUACGGUGGACUUUGGUCCGCAACGUACUCGGAACACCCGCACCAAAGGUGUUUUCUUGGGAUUGCCCAUGCAACAAACUCUGUAGGGCUGAGUAGCUAAUUAUGGACAAAAUGCUUGGAGUCCAGUUUAGCCAAGUCUGGAACAACAUGCAACUUGUUGAUAAGAUGAAACUUCGGCUCGAUGUAGCUCGUUUUCAAUCAACCUGGCUCUCCGUCGGGUUCUCGGAGUUUGGCGGGAUUUAUUAUGCUCAGGACCAAGCAAAUUUGAAGCCGGAGAAGCAUCUUUACGGUGGUAACAGCGGG